AGAGUGAACGCUGGCGGUAGGCCUAACACAUGCAAGUCGAACGGCAGCACGGUAAGAGCUUGCUCUUAUGGGUGGCGAGUGGCGGACGGGUGAGGAAUACAUCGGAAUCUACCUUUUGGUGGGGGAUAACGUAGGGAAACUUACGCUAAUACCGCAUACGCCCUUCGGGGGAAAGCCGGGGACCAGCAAUGGCCUGGCGCUGAUAGAUGAGCCGAUGUCGGAUUAGCUAGUUGGUGAGGUAAUGGCUCACCAAGGCGACGAUCCGUAGCUGGUCUGAGAGGAUGAUCAGCCACACUGGAACUGAGACACGGUCCAGACUCCUAGGGAGGCAGCAGUGGGGAAUA
rnacentral:rRNA from 1 species